rnacentral:rRNA from 1 species
AUUGAACGCUGGCGGCAGGCCUAACACAUGCAAGUCGAACGCGUGGCGGACGGGUGAGUAAUGUCUGGGAAACUGCCCGCUGGAGGGGGAUAACUACUGGAAAAGGUAGCGAAUACCGCAUACCAUCGGAUGUGCCCCGAUGGGAUUAGCUAGUAGGUGGGGUAACGGGUCACCUAGGCGACGAUCCCUAGCUGGUCUGAGAGGAUGACCAGCCACACUGGAACUGAGACACGGCCCAGACUCCUACGGGAGGCAGCAGUGGGGAAUAUUGGACAAUGGGCGCAAGCCUGAUGCAGCCAUGCCGCGUGUAUGAAGAAGGCCUUCGGGUUGUAAAGUACUUUUAGCGAGGAGGCGUUACUCGCAGAAGAAGCACCGGCUAACUCCGUGCCAGCAGCCGCGGUAAUAC